rnacentral:sRNA from 1 species
GCAGGCACCGUGGUGCAUGGCUGUCAUCCCAGCUGCUUGGAAGGCUGAGAAGAGGGGAUCAUUUGAGUCCACAGUUCCAGACCAAUGUGGGCAAUAAAGUGAGACCGCUGUCUCUU